rnacentral:rRNA from 1 species
UAUGGAGGGGGCUAGCGUUGUUCGGAAUUACUGGGCGUAAAGCGCGCGUAGGCGGCUUUGUAAGUUAGAGGUGAAAGCCCGGAGCUCAACUCCGGAAUUGCCUUUAAGACUGCAUCGCUAGAAUCAUGGAGAGGUUAGUGGAAUUCCGAGUGUAGAGGUGAAAUUCGUAGAUAUUCGGAAGAACACCAGUGGCGAAGGCGACUAACUGGACAUGUAUUGACGCUGAGGUGCGAAAGCGUGGGGAGCAAACAGG